rnacentral:rRNA from 1 species
GAAUAAAAUUCUAGGUAGAAUUUUGAUAAUGACAUUGUUUCCCUAUGUGUCUUGACCAAAUUACGUGCCAGCAGUCGCGGUAAUACGUAGAAGACUAGUGUUAUUCAUGUUUAAUCGGUUUAAAGGGUGCCUAGACGGUAAAUCAAGCCUAAAAAUUAAAUGAAGGGGCUAAUUUUUUAGAGUUACUUAUGAGGGGGUAUUAAAGUACUGCUGGUGUAGAGAUGAAAUUCUGUCAUACCUCUUUUUUAUAGAAAAAUAAUGGCACAGGUAUAGGCGAAAGCAUCCCCUUAUGUGAUAACUGACGUUGAGGGACGAAGGCUUUGUGUAGCGAACAGGAUUAGAUACCCCAGUAGUCAAAGCAGAAAAUGAUGAAUGUCAUAGAUUAGAUAAAUAAGUUUAUUUUAUAAAUGAAAGUGUAAGCAUUCCCCCUCAAGAGUAAUUUGGCAACAUUGGAACUGAAAUCAUUAGACCGUUUUUGAAACCAGUAGUGAAGUAUGUUGUUUAAUUUGAUGAUCCGCAAAAAACCUUACCCCAAUUUGAAUAUUUAUAUCUUUUAUUGUUUUUUUUUAUUUUCUUCUCUUUUGAUUUGAUUUUUCUAAAGAAAAAAAGAAAAAGAGGCGAUAUGAUAUAUUU